ensembl:snRNA U4 U4 spliceosomal RNA
AGCUUUGCGCAGUGGCAGUAUCAUAGCCAAUGAGGUUUAUCCGAGGCGCGAUUAUUGCUAAUUGAAAACUUUUCCCGAUUAUUGCUAAUUGGAGCCUAUCUUAGUAUUCACUCUGGAGA